AGUGAACGCUGGCGGUAGGCCUAACACAUGCCAGUCGAACGGCAGCACAGUAAGAGCUUGCUCUUACGGGUGGCGAGUGGCGGACGGGUGAGGAAUACAUCGGAAUCUACUUUUUCGUGGGGGAUAACGUAGGGAAACUUACGCUAAUACCGCAUACGACCUACGGGUGAAAGCAGGGGAUCUUCGGACCUUGCGCGAUUGAAUGAGCCGAUGUCGGAUUAGCUAGUUGGCGGGGUAAAGGCCCACCAAGGCGACGAUCCGUAGCUGGUCUGAGAGGAUGAUCAGCCACACUGGAACUGAGACACGGUCCAGACUCCUACGGGAGGCAGCAGUGGGGAAUAUUGGACAAUGGGCGCAAGCCUGAUCCAGCCAUACCGCGUGGGUGAAGAAGGCCUUCGGGUGGUAAAGCCCUUUUGUUGGGAAAGAAAAGCAGCAGGUUAAUACCCCGCUGUUCGGACGGUACCCAAAGAAUAAGCACCGGCUAACUUCGU
rnacentral:rRNA from 1 species